rnacentral:rRNA from 1 species
CACCGCGGUUAUACGAGAGGCCCGAGUUGACACAGCCCGGCGUAAAGAGUGGUUAAUAAUAGGCAAACUAAGGUCGAACAUCUUCAAGGCUGUCAUACGCACCCGGAGACAGGAAGACCCCCUACGAAAGUGACCUCAACGAUCUAUGAACCCACGAAAGCUAGGGAA